rnacentral:rRNA from 1 species
AUUGAACGCUGGCGGAAUGCUUUACACAUGCAAGUCGAACGGCAGCACGGACUUCGGUCUGGUGGCGAGUGGCGAACGGGUGAGUAACAUAUCGGAACGUAUCCAAUAAUGGGGGAUAACGAGUCGAAAGAUUCGCUAAUACCGCAUACGCCCUACGGGGGAAAGCUGGGGACCUUCGGGCCUGGCGUUAAUGGAGCGGCCGAUAUCUGAUUAGCUGGUUGGUGAGGUAAAGGCACACCAAGGCGACGAUCAGUAGCUGGUCUGAGAGGACGACCAGCCACACUGGAGCUGAGACACGGUCCAGACUCCUACGGGAGGCAGCAGUGGGGAAUUUUGGACAAUGGGCGCAAGCCUGAUCCAGCCAUUCCGCGUGAGUGAAGAAGGCCUUCGGGUUGUAAAGCUCUUUCGCAAGGGAAGAAAACUUAGCCACUAACAUUGGUUGAGGUUGACGGUACCUUGAUAAGAAGCACCGGCUAACUACGUGCCAGCCGCCGCCGUAA